AUUGAACGCUGGCGGCAGGCCUAACACAUGCAAGUCGAGCGGAUGACGGGAGCUUGCUCCUUGAUUCAGCGGCGGACGGGUGAGUAAUGCCUAGGAAUCUGCCUGGUAGUGGGGGACAACGUUUCGAAAGGAACGCUAAUACCGCAUACGUCCUACGGGAGAAAGCAGGGGACCUUCGGGCCUUGCGCUAUCAGAUGAGCCUAGGUAGGAUUAGCUAGUUGGUGGGGUAAUGGCUCACCAAGGCGACGAUCCGUAACUGGUCUGAGAGGAUGAUCAGUCACACUGGAACUGAGACACGGUCCAGACUCCUACGGGAGGCAGCAGUGGGGAAUAUUGGACAAUGGGCGAAAGCCUGAUCCAGCCAUGCCGCGUGUGUGAAGAAGGUCUUCGGAUUGUAAAGCACUUUAAGUUGGGAGGAAGGGCAGUAAGUUAAUACCUUGCUGUUUUGACGUUACCGACAGAAUAAGCACCGGCUAACUCUGUGCCAGCAGCCGCCGUAAAAC
rnacentral:rRNA from 1 species